GAUGAACGUUGGCGGUGUGCCUAAUACAUGCAAGUCGAACGAAGUUGAUAGCAAUAUUAGCUUAGUGGCGAACGGUGAGUAACGCGUUGGUGAUCUGCCUUGAAGUGUGGAAUAACGUUUCGAAAGGAACGCUAAUACCGCAUGUGCUCUCGAUUUUCAGAAAGUUGAGAGUAAAGGAUUUAUUCGCUUCAAGAGGAGCCUGCGUCCAUCAGCUGGUUGGUAGGGUAACGGCCUACCAAGGCUAUGACGGGUAGGGGACCUGAGAGGGUGGCCCCCCACAAUGGAACUGAAACACGGUCCAUACACCUACGGGUGGCAGCAGUAGGGAAUAUUAGAAAUGGACGAAAGUCUGAUCUAGCAACACCGCGUGUGCGAAGAAGGCCUUCGGGUCGUAAAGCACUUUUUGGAAGGAAUAGGAAGGAAUGUACUUCCAGAAUAAGUCUCGGCUAACUACGUGCCAGCAGCCGCGGUAAU
rnacentral:rRNA from 1 species